ACGCCUGUUUUAUCUCCUCGCCAGCCUACUAUCGUGGUUGUCGAGGUAAACGACUGGCGAAUAUCAAAAUAAUUCCUCACUUCCUCCCACAAUAUUGCGGGAGGUAGGUAAGUUGAAUAACCCUGCCUGCAGACUUGCCUCUAGACUAUUCAGUGAUGAAAGCAGGUUUGAAGGCAGGGGACACCUAA
rnacentral:snoRNA from 1 species